rnacentral:rRNA from 1 species
UGAGGAAUAUUGGUCAAUGGGCGGGAGCCUGAACCAGCCAAGCCGCGUGAGGGAAGAAGGCCCUAUGGGUCGUAAACCUCUUUUGUCAGGGAACAAAAGCGAGUAUGUAUACUGGUCUGAGUGUACCUGAAGAAAAAGCAUCGGCUAACUCCGUGCCAGCAGCCGCGGUAAUACGGAGGAUGCGAGCGUUAUCCGGAUUUAUUGGGUUUAAAGGGUGCGUAGGCGGCGGUGCAAGUCAGCGGUAAAAGCCCGGGGCUCAACCCCGGCGAGCCGUUGAAACUGCAGUGCUAGAGAAGGCGAGAGGUACGCGGAAUGCGCAGUGUAGCGGUGAAAUGCUUAGAUAUUGCGCAGAACUCCGACUGCGAAGGCAGCGUACUGGCGCCUGACUGACGCUGAGGCACGAAAGCGUGGGGAUCGAACAGGAUAGAUACC